CGAAUGAAGAUUUUCUAAGUGAAGAUUUGUCAGCACUUCACCUUCGUCGACUUUCAAUCCUUUACAAUGUAGAUGAGAUUCGCGAAUUGGUAACACAUCUUGAACUACCAUACACCGAAUGGAAAGACCUCUUCAUCGUAGAACCUGAACCACAGCUACUGAAAUUCAAAGCAUUAUGUCUUUGUCACGAGCAAUCAACACUGACUUUCAGAAAAAUUAAAAAAGCUGUAGUGGAAGGAAAGAUACAAAAUCCACACACUUUGUGCAAGGUAAUGAGAGGCGCAUUUGUGGACUUUGAUACUGAUCCAGUGAAAUGGGAUCUGGUUCCUUCUGGUGAAGACAUUGAUAAAAUGGCACCUUUGAUUGGAAACAAAUCCUUAUUUUUUCUGGUCGAACUUGGUAUGAACCUCGAGACAUGGGAUACCAUCAAUCACAG